rnacentral:rRNA from 1 species
UCUAGCGAGACUGCCGGUAAUAAACCGGAGAAGUGGGGAUGACGUCAAAUCAUCAUGCCCCUUAUGACCUGGGCUACACACGUGCUACAAUGGUUGGUACAACGAGUUGCGAGUCGGUGACGGCGAGCUAAUCUCUUAAAGCCAAUCUCAGUUCGGAUUGUAGGCUGCAACUCGCCUACAUGAAGUCGGAAUCGCUAGUAAUCGCGGAUCAGCACGCCGCGGUGAAUACGUUCCCGGGCCUU